GGAGAGGUGGCAGAGUGGUUGAAUGCGGCGGUCUCGAAAACCGCUAAGGCGGCAACGUCUUCGAGGGUUCAAAUCCCUCCCUCUCCG
rnacentral:tRNA from 1 species